CCUCCCCGAAAAUUACAGGCACGUCUCUGUUUCACUGGCCUCAAACUAGAACUCACAUUGUUCUGUUCUCUCCCUCCCUGUAUUUCAUUACUGGUUUUGAGACUGCAGGAGGUGAUCAUCGUCAUCGCUGGCUUAGCUUGCGAUGAAAUCUAAGAGCCCUGCUCACACUGGAAAUGGCUACGCAACCGAGAGUGGUAGCAGCAGCUCUCCGAGCCCACCAAGGUCACCGCGCCGUCAAUCUUCCACUAACAUAUCUCAUUGCCGCCGACGAUUGCGGCCCAAAGCUCUCUCUCAUACCACCCGUCGUCUAGAAAGUUUUGCCGCCGGUAUCAUUGCUCGCCGGAAUCUCCGCUAUUUCUUCCUUCUGCCACUUCUCUACAUCUCUGGCUUGCUCAUGUGCGUUGGGCCGUUCUCUGCCCUCAUUGGCCAUGCCUCUGUUCCCGGCGCAAUUUAUCGUAGUCACGAGAUUUUUCAAAAGCUUUGGCCCGAUAUUGAGUCUGAUAAUUCGUCCGCAGUGGAGUUAUCUUCGGUGUGGAAGUACAAAAGAAAGUUGAGGGAGCACAAACCUUGUCCAAACAUUACCGCCGUGCAACAUGAACAUUUUGCGUUUUCAGGCCAUAAUGGUUUCCUAAUUGUGGAGGCUAAUGGAGGCCUUAACCAGCAACGUUCUGCAAUUUGCAAUGCUGUGGCCGUGGCUGGACUUUUGAAUGCUAUACUCGUUAUACCUCACUUUGAAUUCCACAAUGUCUGGAGAGAUCCAAGUGAAUUUGGGGAUAUAUACGAUGAAGAUCAUUUUAUAUCCACGCUUGAGGGUUAUGUGAAGGUAGUCAAAGAACUUCCCGAGGUACUAAUGGAGAGGUAUAAUUACAACAUCAGUAAUAUCACUACCAUCCGGGUCCAAGCUUGGGCUCCUGUCAGUUAUUACUUAGGAGUUGUUUAUCCAAUCAUGCGAAAGGAAGGGGCCAUCCGAAUAUCACCAUUUGCGAACCGAUUGGCUAUGAGUGUCCCUCCUCACAUUCAAUUUUUGAGAUGUCUAACUAAUUAUAAAGCACUGAGGUUUGCCUCUUCAAUAUCAAUACUAGCCAAGAAACUGGUUGACCGAAUGAUUGAGAAGAGCUCAAGAACAGAUGGGAAGUAUGUUACUGUGCACCUACGCUUUGAGGAGGACAUGGUGGCAUUCUCCUGUUGUAUAUAUGAUGGAGGAGAGGUGGAAAGGUUGGAGAUGGAUUCAGUUCGAGAAAAAGGAUGGAGGGGGAAAUUUAAGCGAAAAGAUCGUGUCAUUCUACCUAACCUCAAUCGAAUCGAAGGAAAAUGCCCACUUACCCCUUUGGAGGUAGGGAUGAUGUUGCGUGGCAUGGGAUUUGAUAACAAUACGUCAAUAUAUUUGGCUUCUGGGAAAAUAUAUCAGGCAGAGAGAAAUUUGGCUCCUUUAAUAAAGAUGUUUCCCAAUCUGCAUACGAAGGAAUCACUUGCAGCUCCAGAUGAGCUUGCUCCCUUUAAGGAAUAUUCCUCUCAAUUAGCAGCACUGGACUACACAGUAUGCUUGUUUAGUGAGGUGUUCGUAACAACUCAGGGUGGUAACUUCCCUCAUUUUCUGAUGGGUCAUCGAAGAUUUCUGUAUGAUGGACAUGCAAAGACCAUUAACCCUGAUAAGCGCAAGCUUGUUGCUCUCCUGGGGAAUGCUACUGUUAGUUGGCGAAGUUUCAAGGAGCAGAUGGAAGCUAUGCUUGGUGACAAUGACCGGAAAGGAAUCCUUGUACCAAGAGUCAGAAAAAUUAACAGGAAAACUUCAGUCUACACAUACCCGUUACCAGAAUGUAGAUGUCUACAGCAGCUGCAUAACAGUCAAAAUUGACCACAAUCUAGUCAGCCAUGAUGACGACAUUCGAAGAAAAACUUAAAUGAAUAAUGCCGUUCUUCUGAUUGCCUUCUGCGCCACUGAAAUCAUCAGAUUCGUGUCAGUUCAACACCCUUGGUGUUUCACCCUUCUUUGUGUAAUGAUGCUACAUCUUCUGAUUUUGAGGGUAAAGAUGAGUUGUUACUGCCUAAUGCCAAGAUGGGGGUACUGCAGUUCUGAAGACGAGAAAUUCCAUUUUGUCUGAUUUCCUGCCGCUGGAUGAGGAUUUUCUGUGCAUGUUACAUGUUGUCCAUGGUCUGAUGGUUUUCUGGCUUGCCAUGGGAAGGUAGAAGUGGUGAUGCCGCACAACUUUGCUAGUGUUUCUCAGAGAAGCAUAGAACUCAGGGUAGGAGGGGGAAUUGAAACAGUGAAUUGAUCAAGUUUUGCAUUUUUGGAUUCUGUCUAUCUGUUUCAACCGAGGGAGGCAUCCUAUAGGUGCUUUGGAUGUGUUAUGGCUCAUUACCUCCUUCAUCUUCUAAGAUUUAAUUUCACUUAUUCAGACUGUUUUUCUUACCUUCAAAACUUUCUGUACGCGAAGCUUCCUCAGAUGAUGAUGUUUGAAAAGCAGGUAGUGAAAAUUAUCCGAAAGGAGUUGAGAUGUUUACUUGUCUUGAAACUUAUCCGCCCCUG